UACGUAGGGGGCAAGCGUUGUCCGGAAUCAUUGGGCGUAAAGCGCGUGUAGGCGGCCUUGUAAGUCCGUUCUGAAAGCCCGGGGCUCAACCCCGUGAGGCGGAUGGAUACUGCAAGGCUCGAGUACGGAAGAGGCGAGUGGAGUUCCCGGUGUAGCGGUGAAAUGCGCAGAUAUCGGGAGGAACACCAAUGGCGAAGGCAGCUCGCUGGGACGUUACUGACGCUGAGACGCGAAAGCGUGGGGAGCAAACAGG
rnacentral:rRNA from 1 species